GUUAAAAUAUAAUAAUUUCAUCCCUCAAUCCCAAGGAAUUAAUGGUAAGUUGUACAUGUAUAUGAAUUUGACAAAUAUUUGAGUUGACAUGAAACUAUGAUGUGCUAGUAUAUUAAAGAGGGAAGUAAGGUUUUAUAGAUUUAGCCAAGACCGGGUUUUUUCAUGCAUGAGCUCAGAAUUGGUGCUGGAAAAAGCUCAGCUGAUCUGAAAAUGCAUAUGUUUGCCCAAGUUUGCAUGUAUAUUGUGUGCUCUCUGAUAGUUUGUUGUAUGUAUCUUUAAAAGGCCAUGCAUUAACUUGUUUGCCCCAUCCCUAUAAGUAUUGGGUUAAUUGACUCAACUGCUGGCAUAUUUCUGGUGUUCCUGAGGUAGGGGCUAAUGUGACAGCUAGCCCUAGGCCAGUAAGCAAGGUCUCACUGUGUGGUUAUUUUUAUAGUGGAAAUUCCUUUCAAAUUGUAUGCAGGGGCGUAGCCAAGGGGGGGCAAGGGGGGGGCGGUCGCCCCCCCCAAUCGCAAAAAAACUAUUCUCUAAAAAAGGCUAAAUCCGUAGAGAAAUGGGGGGGGCGUACACGUUACAUCCUCGAAGCUGAAACGGAUUAAGUACGUCUCGACUGAGGAAAACGACGAAAUACUGGAAGAACUUGAUUUCUAAAAUCUCGUUAAAACAGUUGUAGAUAUGGUUCCAAGAGGAAUAGAUUUAGUUUAGAUUUACAUGUAUAUGCAUUAUGAUAACAUGAAUAUUCUUCUCAGACUUAUUCUGUAUCAUAUAUAAAAGCGAGUAGAAACUUAGAAAUGUCUGGGAAAAUUUAUGUCUUCGACGUACUUUAUAAUCUUCGGGAUUCUGCAAGAUUUCACCCCCAAAAUGCUUGAAAUCACAUUUCAGGGACUCUAAAUUUUAAAAUUUUCCCUGGGGUGCAUGCCCCCGAACCCCCCUAGAGCGUACUUUAUAAUCUUCGGAAUUCUGCAAGAUUUCACCCCCAAAAUGCUUGAAAUCACAUUUCAGGGACUCUAAAUUUUAAAAUUUUCCCUGGGGUGCAUGCCCCCGAACCCCCCUAGAGCGUACUUUAUAAUCUUCGGAAUUCUGCAAGAUUUCAGCCCCAAAAUGCUUGAAAUCACAUUUCAGGGACUCUAAAUUUCAAAAUUUUCACGGGGGUGCAUGUCCCCGGACCUCCAUAGAUGGUCUCGCGCCUUCGGCGUUCGCUUCGCCCCCCCAAAAAUGAAGGUCUGGCUACGCCACUGAUUGUAUGGACAACCUGACUGGCUCAGUUUUCAGAUCUCACCUGAACAAGGCAAGCUCUCAGUUACACCGGGAAGAUAUUUUAUGGAUAUAAACACUAACUGGACUGACCUGGUCAAAGUAAAGUCAAUACAACAUUGGUCAUGGAAAUAUUGUCAAAACAAUAGAAAUGUGUCGGCAAGGAAAUUAAUCUGGAAAUAAUAAAUAGUUCUGCCAACCAGGCCAGCCUGGCUUCCAUAUUGAUAGCCCCUAUGGCUAUAAUCCAUUCUUGCUUAUUGCAGAAUGCUCCCACAAUGAGUUCAUGGCUUCAUGCCACUGUUGUUAGUGAACCUCCAAGAAACAUGUAUUAAUUGUUUCAAAAUUAAUUAAAGACAAAAAUUUGCUUGAUUUUGUAUAUUAUUUAUUUUAAUUCAACUUGCAUGGUUAAAGAAUAAUUAUCCAAUUGGGACAUAUUCCAGAAAAGAUCCACACUCCCCCCACAGAGGAAAUUUCUGCCGUCCGGAGGGGGAGGGGAGAAAAAAUUGUUUCUGAUAAUAGUAAAUGUACGUAAUUUCCUCUGUGGGGGUGGUAUGGAUGUUUUCUGGAAUGACCCAUUAGCAGUAAAUAAUAUUAAAACCUAACUGUACAAUCAAGUUACAUGUAAUACUUAACAGUAUUAUUAAAAAAUUAAAACGAGAGCUCAUGGGUUAUUCUUUGGCUGUUUGUAGUACAUACAUAUAAAUAACACAUUCCCACAAAAUUAUAGAGAAAAGUAAUUGUUAGUUCUGGCAUGCAGUUAAGUCUGGCAAGAGCUAGUGCACCACUUAACUCUUGCUAUUUGAACAUUCGAAAGAACUUGUAUUAAUUUCUUGUCCACAUGCAUGACUUACAUCAGAUUCACCCUAAAUGAGAAAUGUC
rnacentral:lncRNA from 1 species